UACAGAGGGUGCGAGCGUUAAUCGGAAUUACUGGGCGUAAAGAGUGCGUAGGUGGUUGGAUAAGUCAGAUGUGAAAGCCCUAGGCUUAACCUGGGAAUUGCGUUUGAUACUGUCUAGCUAGAGGAUGGGAGAGGGAAGUGGAAUUUCCGGUGUAGCGGUGAAAUGCGUAGAUAUCGGAAGGAACACCAGUGGCGAAGGCGGCUUCCUGGACCAUAACUGACACUGAGGCACGAAAGCGUGGGGAGCGAACAGG
rnacentral:rRNA from 1 species